GGGCGUAAAGCGCAUGCAGGCGGCCUGUUAAGUCAGAUGUGAAAGCCCGGGGCGUUAACCUCGGAAUUGCAUUUGAAACUGGCAGGCUAGAGUCUUGUAGAGGGGGGUAGGAAUUUCAGGUGUAGCGGUGAAAUGCGUAGAGAUCUGAAGGAAUACCAGUGGCGAAGGCGGCCCCCCUCGGACAAAGACUGACGCUCAGAUGCGAAAGCGUGGGGAGCAAACAGGAUUAGAUACCCUGGUAG
rnacentral:rRNA from 1 species